AUUGAACGCUGGCGGCAGGCCUAACACAUGCAAGUCGAGCGGAUGAAGGGAGCUUGCUCCUGGAUUCAGCGGCGGACGGGUGAGUAAUGCCUAGGAAUCUGCCUGGUAGUGGGGGAUAACGUCCGGAAACGGGCGCUAAUACCGCAUACGUCCUGCGGGAGAAAGUGGGGGAUCUUCGGACCUCACGCUAUCAGAUGAGCCUAGGUCGGAUUAGCUAGUUGGUGGGGUAAAGGCCUACCAAGGCGACGAUCCGUAACUGGUCUGAGAGGAUGAUCAGUCACACUAGAACGGAGACACGGUCCAGGCGCCUACGGGAGGCAGCAGUGGGGAAUAUGGGACAAUGGGCGAAAGCCUGAUCCAGCCAUGCCGCGUGUGUGAAGAAGGUCUUCGGAUUGUAAAGCACGUUAAGUUGGGAGGAAGGGCAGUAAGUUAAUACCUUGCUGUAUUGACGUUACCAGCAGAAGAAGCACCGGCUAACUUCGUG
rnacentral:rRNA from 1 species